GCGAGUGUAGCUCAGUGGUAGAGCGUAACCUUGCCAAGGUUGACGUCGCGCGUUCGAAUCGCGUCACUCGCUUUU
rnacentral:tRNA from 2 species